rnacentral:rRNA from 1 species
CCUACGGGAGGCAGCAGUGGGGAAUAUUGGGCAAUGGGCGCAAGCCUGACCCAGCAACGCCGCGUGAAGGAAGAAGGCUUUCGGGUUGUAAACUUCUUUUCUCAGGGACGAAGCAAGUGACGGUACCUGAGGAAUAAGCCACGCCUAACUACGUGACAGCAGCCGGGGUAAUACGUAGGUGGCAAGCGUUAUCCGGAUUUACUGGGUGUAAAGGGCGUGUAGGCGGGACUGCAAGUCAGAUGUGAAAACCACGGGCUCAACCUGUGGCCUGCAUUUGAAACUGUAGUUCUUGAGUACUGGAGAGGCAGACGGAAUGCUGAUUGUAGCGGUGAAAUGCGUAGAUAUUAGGAGGAACACCAGUGGCGAAGGCGGUCUGCUGGACAGCAACUGACGCUGAGGCGCGAAAGCGUGGGGAGCAAACAGGAUUAGAUACCCUUGUAGUC